UACCAAAAACAUCGCCUCCCGCGAAAAAUCAACGUAUAGGAGGUCCAUGCCUGCCCAGUGACUAUAAGUUAAACGGCCGCGGUAUUUUGACCGUGCAAAGGUAGCGCAAUCACUUGUCUUUUAAAUGAAGACCUGUAUGAAUGGUGGAACGAGGGCUUAACUGUCUCCCCCUUCUAGUCAAUGAAAUUGAUCUACCCGUGCAGAAGCGGGUAUAAUAAUACAAGACGAGAAGACCCUUUGGAGCUUAAGACAAAAAACCAACUAUGUCAAAAGUCCUAAAAAAGACUAAACUAAAUAGGACUGGUUUUAAUCUUCGGUUGGGGUGACCACGGGAGAAAACAAAGCUCCCAUGCGGACUGGGGUAAUCCCCUAAAACUAAGAGAGACAUCUCUAAGACGCAGAACAUCUGACCAUAAAGAUCCGGCUACAUGCCGACCAACGGACCAAGUUACCCUAGGGAUAACAGCGCAAUCCCCUUCCAGAGUCCAUAUCGACAGGGGGUUUACGACCUCGAUGUUGGAUCAGGACAUCCUAAUGGUGCAGCCGCUAUUAAGGGUUCGUUUGUUCAACGAUUAAAGUCCUACGUGAUCUGAGUUC
rnacentral:rRNA from 1 species